CCGGUUUAAUUUAGUGUACUUCCUGUUUAGCUGAGGUCACUUCCGGUUUAUUUGGGGUCACUUCCGGUUUGAUUUGGAUCACUUCCAGUUCAUUCAGGGUCCAUUGGGGCACUUCAAGGUCAAUCCAAGAUGUCCGCCACACUGGAAGUGGGGGUUAAGGGGGUGAAUAUGGUAUGCAUAAGGUGAACAAAGUGAAUAAAGCUGGAAUGGGUUGAAUCGGUAGAAAAAUGUAGAAAUUAGAGUAGAAAAACGGAAUUUUGGUUGAAUUUCAAAUUUGAAAAUUUGGAAUUUUUGGUAAGUGGGAAGUUGUGAAAUAGGUAGGCAAAAGAUGAAGACUUGAAAAUUGGAAUGGUUGAAUCGGUAGAGAAAUGUAGAA